rnacentral:other from 1 species
GAAAUUCUGGAGCAUUCGACAGGGUCUUUCUAAAUUCAACCGACAAAGUUAAUUCGGGAGUUCGGGUUUAUAUGAAAGUAUGAUAUAGCUUCUUUUUAAGGAGAAAAUCAGAAAUGAUAUAGCAGGACACCCACCUGGGAGUAUCUCGGGUAUGAAUUUACAGUUACCCACGGUGUUCUGGGAAUAAA